rnacentral:lncRNA from 1 species
CCUGAAGCCAGCGUCUGAGUCUCACCAAUGGCACAUGGGUGUUACUCCUCAGAGGUGGCCUCCCUCUGGGCCCAUCAUGCUGAGCCUGGGUUUAGCUGCAACUUCUGGAUCACUGAGAACUCUCAGUCCCACUGCAAAGAUAUACAUGGAAUUUACAUGAGACAUGGAUGACAUAAAGAAUAAGAGAAAGACAAGAGAGAAGAAUAGCCAACCAACAGUUCAGAAAAAAUCAGCACAUGAUAGCCCAU